rnacentral:rRNA from 1 species
AUCAUUACCGAGUUCAUGCCCUUACGGGUAGAUCUCCCACCCUUUGUAUACUAUACCUUUGUUGCUUUGGCGGGCCGCCUAGCUACUGGCUUCGGCUGGUAUGUGCCCGCCAGAGGACCCAAAACCCUGAAUUAUUAGUGUCGUCUGAGUAAAAUAUUUAAUAUUUAAAACUUUCAACAACGGAUCUCUUGGCUCUGGCAUCGAUGAAGAACGCAGCGAAAUGCGAUAAGUAAUGUGAAUUGCAGAAUUCAGUGAAUCAUCGAAUCUUUGAACGCACAUUGCGCCCCUUGGUAUUCCGAGGGGCAUGCCUAUUCGAGCGUCAUUAUCACCCCUCAAGCCUAGCUUGGUGUUGAGGCCUGCUGUCAAGGCAGCCUCUAAAAUCAGUGGCAGUGCUGUCAGGCUCUAAGCGUAGUAAAUCUAAUCGCUAUAGACACCUGGUGGACACUCGCCAGAACCCCCCCAUUUUUUAAUGAUUGACCUCGGAUUAGGUAGGGAUACCCGCUGAACUUAAGCAUAUCAAUAA